GCUUAACCUACCCUAAGUGUUCCAGACUCUUCCUGUUCCAAAAAGCCUGAGACUUGGAAUUCUAAAAAAAAGUGUGUUGUCGUGGCCGUACCUGCCGGUUUUUGGACUGCCUCCGAGGUCCUAACACAUUACAAAAGGUCCGAACAAAUCCGAACGAGGUCCUAACCUGCUCCUAACCAGGUCCGAACAUAUUCCUUCAGAGAUCAAAGAGUUUCGAAUGAGAUCCGACCACAGUUCCGAACAGUAUAGGUCACGUGACACGGGAGGGGGCGGGAAUAUACGAUGAACACCGCGUUAGAGUGGCAGCCAUUUUUUCCACCGAUUACGGGAGAUAAAACAUCGGUAGAAAGAUGAAGGAAGCAAAGCCUGAUUCCUAUUGGAGGGAUGUAUGCCUUAAGUAUGCUCGGGGCCAAUUCCAUUUUACCACAGGCAAACGGCCAGGGGCCACAAAAUGGAAAAAGGCCUUAGAAAAAAUAGAUGCUUGCCCGCUGCAGAAGCAAAUGAACACCAAGGAUCUGUUUGGGAGAAGCCUUAAGUGCUCCUGUGGGUUCCACAAGGUAGGUGAAAUUAUUUACUAAUUGAUUGUUUGCUGGUUUGUUUGUUUGUUUUUUCCUCUGGUGGGCUUCAGUGAUUUUGCAGUAAUGCCUCUGAUGUUUUCAAAGCCUGUUUGCUUUUUAUUGAUUUUCUUUUAACAUGUCAGAAUAAACACUAUUCAAUACUAUCAUUCUAUUUUGUGGAUUUAUUUAUUGAACAAUAUGUAUCUGUACCAUUCUGGAGAAAACUAGUAUAGUAGUGUAGGAUUCUUAGUUGCAUGUAGCAUAGCAUGGCCCUCUUUUUGGAACCCCCCCCCCCCCCCAGCCAGCAGAUCUGUCAUCAGGCGCUGCUGGGUCUAGUGACGCAGGAGUUAAGACGGACGAGGCAGGGAGCACGGAGGUAGGGAGAGGAGAGACAGAGGAGGCACAGAGGCAGCGAGAGGAGGCACAGAGGCAGCGAGAGGAGGAGAGACAGAGGCAGCGAGAGGAGGAGAGACAGAGGCAGCUAGAGGAGGAGACACAGAGGCAGCGAGAGGAGGAGAGACAGAGGCAGCGAGAGGAGGAGAGACAGAAGCAGCGAGAGGAGGAGACACAGAGGCAGCGAGAGGAGGAGACACAGAGGCAGGGGCAGUCAACGCAGAGGCAGGGAGAGGAGACGCAGAAGCAGGAGAGGGAGUGCA